rnacentral:rRNA from 1 species
GGCGGACGGGUGAGUAAUGCCUAGGAAUCUGCCUGGUAGUGGGGGAUAACGUUCGGAAACGGACGCUAAUACCGCAUACGUCCUACGGGAGAAAGCAGGGGACCUUCGGGCCUUGCGCUAUCAGAUGAGCCUAGGUCGGAUUAGCUAGUUGGUGAGGUAAUGGCUCACCAAGGCGACGAUCCGUAACUGGUCUGAGAGGAUGAUCAGUCACACUGGAACUGAGACACGGUCCAGACUCCUACGGGAGGCAGCAGUGGGGAAUAUUGGACAAUGGGCGAAAGCCUGAUCCAGCCAUGCCGCGUGUGUGAAGAAGGUCUUCGGAUUGUAAAGCACUUUAAGUUGGGAGGAAGGGUUGUAGAUUAAUACUCUGCAAUUUUGACGUUACCGACAGAAUAAGCACCGGCUAACUCUGUGCCAGCAGCCGCGGUAAUACAGAGGGUGCAAGCGUUAAUCGGAAUUACUGGGCGUAAAGCGCGCGUAGGUGGUUUGUUAAGUUGGAUGUGAAAUCCCCGGGCUCAACCUGGGAACUGCAUUCAAAACUGACUGACUAGAGUAUGGUAGAGGGUGGUGGAAUUUCCUGUGUAGCGGUGAAAUGCGUAGAUAUAGGAAGGAACACCAGUGGCGAAGGCGACCACCUGGACUAAUACUGACACUGAGGUGCGAAAGCGUGGGGAGCAAACAGGAUUAGAUACCCUGGUAGUCCACGCCGUAAACGAUGUCAACUAGCCGUUGGGAAGCCUUGAGCUUUUAGUGGCGCAGCUAACGCAUUAAGUUGACCCGCC